UCGAGAAUCUUUCGCAAUGGGCGCAAGCCUGACGAAGCGACGCCGUGUGAGCGAAGAAGGCCUUCGGGUUGUAAAGCUCUUUCGCUAGGGAACAAGAAAGGCAGAAUAAUAAGUUGCCAAUUUGAUGGUACUUGGUAAAGAAGCACCGGCUAACUCCGUGCCAGCAGCUGCGGUAAUACGGAGGGUGCAAGCAUUGAUCGGAAUUACUGGGCGUAAAGGGCGCGUAGGCGGCUUUAAAAGUCGGAUGUGAAAUUCCGGGGCUCAACCCCGGAGCUGCAUUUGAAACUCUAAAGCUAGAGUACAGUUAGGGAAAACAGAAUUCCACGUGUAGCGGUGAAAUGCGUAGAUAUGUGGAAGAAUACCGGUGGUGAAGACGGUUUUCUGGGCUGAAACUGACGCUGAGGCGCGAAAGCAAGGGGAGCAAACAGG
rnacentral:rRNA from 1 species